rnacentral:rRNA from 1 species
GACGAACGCUGGCGGCGUGCUUAACACAUGCAAGUCGAACGGAAAGGCCUCUUCGGAGGUACUCGAGUGGCGAACGGGUGAGUAACACGUGGGUAAUCUGCCCUGCACUUCGGGAUAAGCCUGGGAAACUGGGUCUAAUACCGGAUAGGACCUUUUGGCGCAUGCCUUUUGGUGGAAAGCUUUUGCGGUGUGGGAUGGGCCCGCGGCCUAUCAGCUUGUUGGUGGGGUGACGGCCUACCAAGGCGACGACGGGUAGCCGGCCUGAGAGGGUGUCCGGCCACACUGGGACUGAGAUACGGCCCAGACUCCUACGGGAGGCAGCAGUGGGGAAUAUUGCACAAUGGGCGCAAGCCUGAUGCAGCGACGCCGCGUGGGGGAUGACGGCCUUCGGGUUGUAAACCUCUUUCAGCAGGGACGAAGCGCAAGUGACGGUACCUGCAGAAGAAGCACCGGCCAACUACG